rnacentral:rRNA from 1 species
UACGAAGGGGGCUAGCGUUGCUCGGAAUCACUGGGCGUAAAGGGCGUGUAGGCGGUUAGUUAAGUCUGGCGUGAAAGCUCUCGGCUAAACCGGGAGAGGUCGUCGGAUACUGGCAAACUAGAGGAUGGUAGAGGCGUGUGGAAUUCCGGGUGUAGUGGUGAAAUGCGUAGAGAUCCGGAGGAACACCAGUGGCGAAGGCGACACGCUGGGCCAUACCUGACGCUAAAGCGCGACAGCAUGGGGAGCGAACGGG